CUGGCAGCAGUAGCCUGCUGAGAUAAGCAAGCACAACACGCAGUAUUUACAUGUACUGUCCUGGCUUUCCCAUUAAAAUGUUUGUAGUACAGUACAGAAACGUGGAUGUGCUUACUGUGCAGAUCUCCAUAAAAUUACUUCCUUGCUCAGCUGGAGUAUUGUGGAAAUCGACUGAAGACAUCGGGAGGACAAGAAUUUUCUAAAAGCAUAUUCAAGAAAGGAUGAAGCCAAAAUACUUUUGCAUCUAAAAAUCAUCUACUACAGUGACAAGAACAAUUAUGGAAACAAUUAUCACGGGGAGGAACAGUGAUACUGAGGCCUAAGUUGCUCUGCAUGAGUCUAGUUUUACAGCGGUUAAGCUUCAAUAAAAUCAACCACAGUAACA
rnacentral:lncRNA from 1 species